rnacentral:rRNA from 1 species
AAACUCGAUUCUGCAAGUAGCGGCGAGCGAACGCGGAAGAGCCUAAACCGGAAUGCGUGCAUUCCGGGGUUACGGACUGCAUUUAAGAUUCUCGGAAGCUAACAGAACGGUUUUGGGAAAGCCGGCCGAAGAGGGUGAAAGCCCCGUAUGUGAAAGCAGAUGAGACUGAGCAGGAUCCAGAGUACCACGAGACACGAGAAACCUUGUGG